GGGGAAAUAAGGGGGUUAUAGGGUAAUGGGGGGGUAAUGGGGGAAACGGGGUUAUGGGGGAAAUGGGGUUAUGGGGAGGUUAUGGGGCGGACGUGGGGGUUAUGAGGGGAAAUGGGGUUAUAUGGACCAUUUUGGGAUCCUUGAGGCCAUUUUGGGGCCAUUUGGGGUCAUUUUGGUGCAGUUCUGGUCACUCACCUGCUUGUUGCAGUGCUCAGAUUCCUCAAAACCCCAUUUCUGAAAUCCCACCUCCCAUUCUGGGGCCAUUUUGGUGCCAUUUGGUGCCAUUUUGGUGCCAUUUUGGGCCAUUUUGGUGCCAUUUUGGGCCAUUUUGGUGCCAUUUUGGGCCAUUUUGGGGCCAUUUUGGUGCCAUUUGGGGCCGUUUUGGGGCCGUUUGGUCGCUCACCUGCUUGUUGUAGUGCUCAGAAUCCUCUAAACCCCAUUUCUCAAAUCCCACCUCCCAUUCUGGGGCCAUUUUGGGCCAUUUUGGAGCCAUCUGGGGCCAUUUUGGGGCCGUUUGGUGCCAUUUUGGUGCCAUUUUGGGCCAUUUCCGUGCCAUUUUGGGCCAUUUUGGUGCCAUUUUGGGGCCGUUUGGUCGCUCACCUGCUUGCUGUAAUGCUCCGAAUCCUCUAAACCCCAUUUCUCAAAUCCCACCUCCCAUUU
rnacentral:lncRNA from 1 species